rnacentral:rRNA from 1 species
GAUGAACGCUAGCGAUAGGCUUAACACAUGCAAGUCGAGGGGCAGCAUGGUCUUAGCUUGCUAAGGCUGAUGGCGACCGGCGCACGGGUGCGUAACGCGUAUGCAACUUGCCUCACAGAGGGGGAUAACCCGUCGAAAGACGGACUAAUACCGCGUACACUCUAUGUUGGGCAUCCAAUGUAGAGGAAAUGAAAUUCGCUGUGAGAUAGGCAUGCGUCCCAUUAGCUAGUUGGUGAGGUAACGGCUCACCAAGGCGACGAUGGGUAGGGGAACUGAGAGGUUGAACCCCCACACUGGUACUGAGACACGGACCAGACUCCUACGGGAGGCAGCAGUGAGGAAUAUUGGUCAAUGGGCGAGAGCCUGAACCAGCCAAGUCGCGUGAAGGAUGACUGUCUUAUGGAUUGUAAACUUCUUUUAUACGGGAAAUACAAGAGUCACGUGUGGCUCCCUGCAUGUACCGUAUGAAUAAGCAUCGGCUAACUCCGUG